UUUUGAAAAGCUGGAAUUGUGUAGAAAUGCUCAAUUUCCUAAAAGUGGCAGAAGAAUGAAAAUACAAAAAGGUUGGAUAUAAGAUCGUAGAAUGCUGUAGUUAGAAAUAUUUACUUGAGACUACUGACAAGUCCAUUUCCAUUUUCUCUUUCCCUAAGAACACCAAUCAGGGUCUUCAGGCCUGGAAGAUUGAAGACAUUCCAGCCAACAAAAUGUCCAUUGCAUGGCAGCUACCACAAUAUGCCCUGGUUACAGCUGGGGAGGUCAUGUUCUCUGUCACAGGUCUUGAGUUUUCUUAUUCUCAGGCUCCCUCUAGCAUGAAAUCUGUACUCCAGGCAGCUUGGCUAUUGACAAUUGCAGUUGGGAAUAUCAUCGUGCUUGUUGUGGCACAGUUCAGUGGCCUGGUACAGUGGGCCGAAUUCAUUUUGUUUUCCUGCCUCCUGCUGGUGAUCUGCCUGAUCUUCUCCAUCAUGGGCUACUACUAUGUUCCUGUAAAGACAGAGGAUAUGCGGGGUCCAGCAGAUAAGCAGAUUCCUCACAUCCAAGGGAACAUGAUCAACCU
rnacentral:sRNA from 1 species